rnacentral:rRNA from 1 species
GAAGACAACUCUGCCAAGCCACAGUUGAAAACCUCCUGGGCUGUCACUUUCAACCUCACCAAACAAAAUGAUGACCCAGAAAGUAAGAUGGCUGAAAACAUAACAACACAAGUAGCUGAGGUGGAUGAUUUUGAAGAUGAUGAAAAUGACGUUUCUGAUAUGAUUCCGAGGAUGCGUGCACUUGAAAGUACCACAAUGCUGUCGCUUGUGACUUUCGCAGCGCUACUGAUUGAAUUCGUUGCUAGGCUUGAUCAUUUGGUUGAAGCUGUUGAGAAGCUCUCCCAGAUGGCCAGGUUCAAGCAGCAGACUGGAACCUAA